rnacentral:misc_RNA from 1 species
UCGUGACUGUAUAUUUUGCAUCAUUCGUGUUUUCUUUUGUGCUGACGUUGUUCACAGGAUGACUAACUAAAGUGAUGCCUAUAAAAGUAAGUUAUAGGUUAUAGGACAGACAUAUAAUAAUUGAACUCACGUUGAAUUAUUAACAAGCAAUAUAUUUUAUGAAAAUGCCGGCUUAUUGGAGCAUGAUCGCCUUGUUUUCUUUAGCUGCCGUUGUUUAUUCGCAAGAGGCUGCAUCAUGCGUUUAUACCAUGGAGAAUAUGUUAGAGAAGAUUAUUAAGAUAGGGAUAAAGGUUGAGGAGAUAGAGAAAAGAAUGACUGUGAUUGAGACGCAGCAGAAUGCGCCUCCAACACCACAAACACCAGUAAAUGAUACCCUUUCAGUCAUCAGGACUCCAAAAGUUGCUUUUAGAAUCCAGUUGAAAUCUAACCUUGGGACUGUAAAAUCUGGUUCAACCGUAAAAUUUGAUCAGGUUGACCUUAACCUUGGCAAUGCGUACAAUGACGGUGUCUUUACGGCGCCGUAUAACGGCACGUAUAUAUUUUCGAUGGUACUUGGAAACCCUGCGGGAAAGCCUGGAGCCUUCUUCAUGAAGAAAAAUAACGUGGGAAUCGAGUAUGCCAUAGCUGGGCACACGACGGGAUGGAAUAUUGGCGGUGUCACCACGGUAGCUGAACUUGUUACCGGUGAUCGAGUGUGGAUUGAAGGGGAAGGAUAUGUGUCUGGCAGCUAUCCAACAGCCAGAUACCACACUGCGUUCUCUGGAGUUCUUGUGAACGCAUACUGAAUGGGAGAAUAAAUCACAGCUACAGAAGAAAACGGGACAUUUCUUGUAGACUAAUAUUUGUCGGAACAUUUCCUAAAAGGAAGUCAACAGAGAAAUAGUAACAAACAGAUGACAUUACAGUUCGUGAAUCAGAGAAGACAGAUAUCGAUACAUAUUCCUUAGUUAAAAGUACUUUCCAGGUUGCAUUACAUAUACUCAUAUACAUCCAUAUUGAUGUUUGAUACAUAGAGAACCAAUAAUAGAGAUAUGUCAUAAUCGAAAUAUGGGCACUAUUAAUGUGUGAUAUGCUUACGUAUAUACGUCUUAGACUAGCUUUCGGGAAUCAUUCAAACCACUCAAUGUUUGAAACGAAUUGCAUACAACUAGAUGUUCAGGUUAUCCUACCAUAUGCAGUAACGGGUAAACUUGAGUUGUCUUUUUUAUGAAGUGCCUACAUGUCCUUCCGACUGUUUCA